UACGUAGGGGGGCAAGCGUUGUCCGGACUUACUGGGCGUAAAGCGCGCGCAGGCGGAUGGGUAUGUGCCGUGUGAAAGCGCCGUCCUUACGAUGGCGAGGUCAUGGUAGACAGCCCCGUCUGGAGGCUCGAAGAGGUCGGUGGAAUUCCGGGUGGAGCGGUGAAAUGCGUAGAUAUCCGGAGGAACACCAGGGGGAAACCAGCCGCCUGGGCAUGCGCUGACGCUGAGGUGCGAGAGCGUGGGGAGCGAACCGG
rnacentral:rRNA from 1 species